CUACUCACCUGACGGGAGAUGCCAUGCAGGUGGUUUCCCAGGUGAAGGCUUAGCACGCAGAUAUGCUGACCCCUGCAAUUUCCCCCAAUUCAGAAAACUCAACUGUGUACUUUGUGGUGGUGGAAACUUGGCUCCUACUCUCUC
ensembl:snRNA U1 U1 spliceosomal RNA